GCCCUAACGGCGUCGUUACGAAGAACAGUGAGGCCAUCGCAGCCGGGCAAUGCCGCUGCCGCGCCGCCGCGAUCGCGCCAGUGCCAUCGGCUGGGCUGGGAAAUGCGUAAUCUCCAGCUCCACAGCUAGAGCGCCUCUCGAAUGCCUAGGGUUUUAAGGUUGCUCCAUCGGCAGAGCACAGCGCGCAGCUGCCGAUGACGCCUGGGUGAGGUACUGCGGGGGAUUCAAGCUGAUCGGGCCCUAUUUCGCGUUUCCAGUGCACAGACUCUCAUCGCUGAGCGAUUCGUCUCAUCAGAAUCCCCAUAGGUACUACUCUUGAUCAGAUCGGCAGCAUCCAGGUGUGGCCAGCUCCUGGCAUUGAUCGCUGGAACGCGUUUUGCUUCCAUCGCAAUUUUCGAAAGGUACACCCGAUUUUUUUACCUCAUCGGUGGUUCCUCUGGUUUUGUAUCAGCGGAUCACAAAGAGAUCAUGGUCUCCAGAUCGUAUUCCAACCUUCUCGAUCUCUCCGGGGAGUACCCGACUUUCAUGCGCAGUGGAAGCAGCAGGCGGAUGUCCAGAGUAAUGACGGUGCCUGGGAUGUGCUCCGAGAGCAGGGAGGAAGAGUCGGUUGCCAACCUCACCCCGGGAGAGAACGUAUCGUCCUCGAUCUCUCAGGACAGGGCCAUCAUCGUGUCAAACGUUUUGCCCCUCCACGCUAGCAGGCGUCCGGAUAAUCUGUCUUGGGUUUUCAGCUGGGACGAGGACUCUCUCCUUCUCAGGCUGAAAGACGGUCUGCCGGAAGACAUGGAAGUUCUAUACGUCGGCUGCUUGUCCGUGGACGUGGAACUCAGCGAACAGGAUGAGGUAGCAGCGUAUCUUCUCGACAACUUCAACUGCGUCCCGACUUUCAUUCCACCGGAUCUGAGGAACAGGUACUACAUUGGGUUCUGCAAGCAGCAGCUGUGGCCUCUCUUCCACUACACUCUGCCGCUGACCCCGGAGCACGGUGGACGAUUUGAUCGACCACUGUGGCAGGCCUACCUUUCUGUGAACAAGCUGUUUGCGGACAAGGUGAUGGAGAUCAUCAGCCCGGACGAGGAUUACGUGUGGGUUCACGACUACCAUCUCAUGGUGCUGCCGACCUUUCUCAGAAAGAGGUUCAACAGGAUAAGGCUCGGGUUUUUCUUACACAGUCCGUUUCCUUCGUCGGAGAUAUACAGGACUCUUCCGGUUCGGGAACAUAUACUGAGAGCGCUCCUCAACGCUGAUUUGAUUGGCUUCCACACCUUCGACUAUGCGCGGCAUUUUCUUUCGUGCUGUAGCAGGAUGUUGGGACUGAAUUACGAAUCUAAGCGGGGCUACAUCGGGCUAGAAUAUUAUGGACGCACAGUUGGGAUCAAAAUAAUGCCGGUCGGGAUUCAUAUGGGUCAGCUUGAAGCAGGCUUGAUUCGCAGUGACACGGAAUUGCGUAUAGCAGAUCUGAAAGCACAGUACCAAGGCAAGGUUGUGCUACUUGGUGUGGACGACAUGGAUAUGUUCAAGGGGAUUGGACUUAAGUUCCUGGCGAUGGAGCAGCUUUUGAAUCAGAGGCCGGAAUGGAGAGGCAAGGUGGUGAUGAUACAGAUUGCAAAUCCAGCCAGGGGCCGUGGCAAAGAUGUUCUUGAGGUGCAGCACGAGGCCUACUCAGUGGCGAAGAGGAUCAACCAGGCCUACGGAAGGGAUGGAUACCAGCCCGUGGUUCUACUGGAGAGACACGUUCCAUUCCCGGAAAGGAUCGCUUACUACACCAUUGCGGAGUGCUGCGUGGUGACUGCUGUGCGGGAUGGUAUGAAUCUCAUUCCGUACGAGUAUAUAGUGUGCCGGCAAGGCAGCAGCGCUGCCUCGAAUGGCACGGAGGGGGAGUCGCUGAAGAAGAGCAUGCUCGUCGUAUCAGAGUUCAUUGGCUGCUCACCAUCGCUGAGCGGCGCGAUCCGGGUCAAUCCUUGGAACAUCGAAGCGGUUGCGGAAGCGAUGAUCAUGGCUAUAAGCAUUCCAGAGUCAGAGAAGCAUGCCAGGCACGAGAAGCACUACAAAUACGUGAGCUCCCACGACGUAGCAUACUGGUCGCAGAGUUUCAUGGGAGACUUGGAAAGAACCUGCAGUGGACACACGCGAAGGCGAUGCUAUGGGAUUGGCUUUGGCCUGGGAUUCAGAGUGGUGGCGCUGGAUCCCAACUUUAGGAAGCUGUCUAUGGAGCAUAUAGUGUCCGCGUACCGAAGGAGCAAGAGCAGGGCCAUUUUACUGGAUUACGACGGAACCAUGAUGCCUCAAGCGUCAAUAAACAAGACCCCCAGUCCGGAAGUUCUACUGGUGCUGAACUCCUUGUGUAGCAAUCCCAAGAACAUCGUCUUCAUUGUGAGCGGUCGCGACAGGCAAAUACUGAGCAACUGGUUCUCGCCCUGUGAGAAGCUCGGCCUGGCCGCCGAGCACGGAUAUUUCUAUCGGUGGAUAAGAGAUUCAGAUUGGCAGACUCUCGUCCCGGUCGUGGAUUUUGAAUGGAAGCAAGUGGCUACUCCGGUCAUGAAGCUAUACACGGAAAGCACAGACGGUUCGUGCAUCGAGUCGAAAGAAAGCGCUCUCGUCUGGCACUACGGCGAUGCGGAUCCAGAUUUUGGAUCGUGGCAGGCAAAGGAGCUACAUGACCAUCUUGAGAGCGUGCUUGCAAACGAUCCAGUCUCGGUAAAGAGCGGGCAGCACAUAGUGGAAGUGAAACCACAGGGUGUAAGCAAGGGCGUGGUUGUCGACAAGCUUUUGGCUUCCAUGGCAAGCAAAGGAACGCCAAUCGACUUCAUUGUGUGCGUUGGGGACGAUAGAUCAGACGAAGACAUGUUUGAGACGAUCGACACGGCGGUGGCAUCACCUCCGCUUUCGUCUAAUACGGAGAUAUUUGCCUGCACGGUUGGGCAGAAGCCCAGCAAAGCAAAGUACUACCUCGACGACACUGCGGACGUGAUCAAGAUGUUACAGGUCUUGUCCACUGCGCAUGAUCCAUGAAGAACGCGGCCAAUGGAAUCCAGCCAACGGAGAAAGCUCAAAGGAAAAGCCAAACGAGCAAAGCAAGCGAUGUUAUCAGGCAAGUCACUUUUCUCAAUGUGCGAGAAACCAAACUUCUCUUUCAAUUGCAGUGAAGUCUGCCACAACAAUGCAUGAAUUGAUAUGAUUCAGAAAAUAUACCAAAUCGAUUACGUCAUUGACAAAACUUAAGGAGAAAAAAGUGUGAUAGCUCUCAGGGGAUAUGCCAUGCCCCAACGACCACCAGGAAGAUAAUAAACGAAACUGUGAGCUCAUACCAUGUGACGCAAUCGUGACUGCAAAGCGGCAGCUCUCUUUCUCCUCCGAAAUCGCCAAUAGAUCACUGCUAAAAGCGCGAACCAAGCUAGAGGUAUCAACCACCUGCAAUGCAAAAGCAAAAGAGAAGCGAAAAAACUCUUUAGUUUUGAGCUCUACUAGUUGGAGUUCGCGAA